AACCCAAGAUGAGGGCACCUUCUCAGUAAGUCCUUGUAUCUCUCCCAUGCAUCGUAAAGUGUUUCUAAAUCCAUCUGGACAAA
rnacentral:snoRNA from 1 species